CUUGGCUAUUAUAUACAAGCAACAGGGAAAUUAUGCAGAAGCGAUAGCCUGUUACAAUGAAGUUCUUCGCAGACUGCUGCUGAUGGUCUUGUCAAUAGAGGGAACACAUUUAAGGAGAUUGGUAGAGUUACUGAAGCAAUUCAGGAUUAUAUACGUGCUGUGAAUAUCAAACCAACUAUGCCUGAAGCCCAUGCAAAUUUGGCUUCAGCUUACAAAGAUAGUUUACAAAUCUCAAGUACUC